rnacentral:rRNA from 1 species
UACAGAGGGUGCAAGCGUUGUUCGGAAUUAUUGGGCGUAAAGGGCGCGUAGGCGGUUCGGCAAGUCUCUAGUGAAAUCUUUGGGCUCAACUCAGAGUCUGCUGGGGAAACUGCCGGGCUUGAGUGUGGGAGAGGAGAGUGGAAUUCCCGGUGUAGCGGUGAAAUGCGUAGAUAUCUGGAGGAACACCGGUGGCGAAGGCGGCAUCCUGGACCGGUAUUGACACUGAGGCGCGAAAGCCAGGGGAGCAAACGGG